UACGAAGGGGGCUAGCGUUGCUCGGAUUUACUGGGCGUAAAGGGCGCGUAGGCGGACAGUUUAGUCAGAGGUGAAAGCCCAGGGCUCAACCUUGGAAUUGCCUUUGAUACUGGCUGUCUUGAGUACGGGAGAGGUGAGUGGAACUCCGAGUGUAGAGGUAAAAUUCGUAGAUAUUCGGAAGAACACCAGUGGCGAAGGCGACUCACUGACCCGUUACUGACGCUGAGGCGCGAAAGCGUGGGGAGCAAACAGG
rnacentral:rRNA from 1 species